UACUCCUACGGGAGGCAGCAGUGGGGAAUUUUGGACAAUGGGCGAAAGCCUGAUCCAGCAAUGCCGCGUGAGUGAAGAAGGCCUUCGGGUUGUAAAGCUCUUUUGUCAGGGAAGAAACGGUGAGGGCUAAUAUCCCUUGCUAAUGACGGUACCUGAAGAAUAAGCACCGGCUAACUACGUGCCAGCAGCCGCGGUAAUACGUAGGGUGCAAGCGUUAAUCGGAAUUACUGGGCGUAAAGCGUGCGCAGGCGGUUUUGUAAGUCUGAUGUGAAAUCCCCGGGCUCAACCUGGGAAUUGCAUUGGAGACUGCAAGACUAGAAUCUGGCAGAGGGGGGUAGAAUUCCACGUGUAGCAGUGAAAUGCGUAGAUAUGUGGAGGAACACCGAUGGCGAAGGCAGCCCCCUGGGUCAAGAUUGACGCUCAUGCACGAAAGCGUGGGGAGCAAACAGGAUUAGAUACCCUGGUAGUCCACGCCCUAAACGAUGUCUACUAGUUGUCGGGUCUUAAUUGACUUGGUAACGCAGCUAACGCGUGAAGUAGACCGCCUGGGGAGUACGGUCGCAAGAUUAAAACUCAAAGGAAUUGACGGGGACCCGCACAAGCGGUGGAGCAUGUGGA
rnacentral:rRNA from 1 species